CACCACCAUUAGCGUCACCAACAGGUCAGUACAUCUCACACCACCAUCACCAACAGGUCAGUACAUCUCACACCACCAUCACCAACAGGUCAGUACAUCUCGCACCACCAUCACCAACAGGUCAGUACAUCUCACACCACCAUCACCAACAGGUCAGUACAUCUCACACCACCAUCACCAACAGGUCAGUACAUCUCACACCACCAUCACCAACAGGUCAGUACAUCUCACACCACCAUCACCAACAGGUCAGUACAUCUCACACCAUCACCAACAGGUCAGUACAUCUCACACCACCAACAGG